UGGCUCCGCGGCGCCAGGAUCCAGGGCAGAGUUAGGACGGGGAUCCGUAAACCCUUGCAGAGUCUGUCUACAGAAAGAGUGUCUCUUCUCAGGCUUCUAUCGCGAAGGCUGAAGAAGGCUCAGACUGAGAGCCAUUUGGACACGAGAAGAUAUGCUCCCCCAUGCUCAGUGGUGUUUACCAGCUAGGGUGAAGAGGACUCACUUCGGACCAAGCGGACAAACUUCUGGUGCCUGCUCGCGGCAAUAAUAUAAAAACACUAGAUGCCCACACUGGCCACACAGCACGGGCCAAGCGAGCCAACACUGUUCCAAACUGGCUGUCCCACGCACAUCGCACAUCGGCGUCCAACCCGCGUCAUCUACACGGGUCAACAUUUUCUUGUAAACACGGGUCCUGAUUUGCCCCUUGAAUUGAAUGAUUGGCUUCUGGGAGCCACACCUACCCAAGCUCUCUGAAGACUUCGCCUGUGCGCAACGAUAAAGGGUUUUACUUCUUCUGAGGGUUCUUUGGCAGUGCUUAUCUUGAGGAGAGGUUUCAACCAGGGUUAAGAAAUUACACAACCUAAAGCUGGCGCCGUGGCUGCUAAGAGUCCUUGCUGCUCUAUCGUGAGGACCCCAGGUAAUUUGGACCUCAGCAUCCACCUUGGGUGGCCCACAAAAACUUGUAACUCAAGCUCUACGGGACACAAUGCUGUCUUCUGGACUCCUCCACACACACAAUGCACACACACUCAUAAGCAUGUGUAUACUCUCCCACAAAGAGGGACGUAUACAUCAAUGAUAAAAUCAAUCUUAGAAGAAAAUGUUAAGAUAUACAACCUGAUGCAGGUCAAGAGAUUAAAGAGAAAGUGCUUCCCUCACCCGGGAUCUUUCCCAUAAACCCACCAUUAUUUAUAUCACUUGUUUGGGGUAAACAGAUGUCAGAAGCCUCCAGUCUCAAGGCUUGCCAAAUAACCACCACCACCCAACAGCCCUACAAACUUCCACAGCAAAGAGAUUAAUCAAAAAUAUUUCUACAUUCCUGGUAGCCAGGUAACAAUGACACAUGAAAACAGCAUGUGCUUCUCGAAGCUUCGUGUUUACCUGCUGAGUAUUGUUGUGCUGUGUCAUUGACUAGGAGCAGGUGAGCAUAAGUCAGGACAGCUGUCCAGUCACCAUAGGUGACUAACUCAUUUUGACACUUCUUUUAAAAAGAAGAAAAUAUGUAACUCUUGCAAACACAAAGGAGCUAUUUCCCUCAAAGCAGAUGAGUCCAUUUGUAGCUCGUUGGGUGAGAUUCCCCAGGUGUAAUGGAAUAGGGCAGAAACUAACCUCAGAGAGCCAAACUAUGAAGACAGAAGAUAAGGAACCAAGUCUCCCAGUGCUUUCAUUUACAUAACCUCUUAUUCAAAAUCCCUCUGGAGAAUUUCUGACCAACUAUUCUCUGCCUGGGUUGUGCUGCAAAAUAGAAGGCAGUUCUCUUACCCUAUCCCCCAAACACUUUGUUUCACCUCCUUACCACACAGAUCAAAACAUAAAAUAACGUCCUCACUGCUUAGGCAAUGUUUAUGACUUUCUAGGAGGCAAAGAUCUGAAAAGGAAAUCAUUUUAGUAAGAUUAAAAUUUUAUUUGAAGAAAUCUUAUUAUUGCAUUUGGGGGUUGUAUUCGUUUGAGGCAGGGGCCUCACUGUGUAUCCUGGACUGACCACAAACUUGUGAUCUUCCUUCCUCGGGCUUCUGGAGUUCUGUGUUUACAAGCAGGUGCCAUUACACUCAGCUCCGCACCUAAUAUUUGUAAAUUACCUGCUUUGAACCAUUGGGGAGACUAGUAGUCAUAGCUUUGUUUCCUCUCAAAGUACACUUUGUUUUAGAAAUUACACAUUUUAUCUGAUAUUAUUGGCAAAACAAACAAAACACUAGCUAAGACAAGGUCAAAAUUUUUGCAUGAAUUCACAUACUUCCUUUUUUUAAUACCUCUGAAAAGUUUUGGUCCCCACACCCUUUUUGGUGGUGGUGGGGUCCACUUUGUGAGUUUGGUUUUUUGUUUUGUUUUGUUUUUAACGCUGGUAGAGCUGGAAGCUCCUGAAUAACACUAAGUCCAGAACCUCUGGAAUCUGAGUCCUAACUUACAAUGAAUUCUCGGAGGAAAAAAAAAUCAGAAAAUCAAAAAACCCAGCCUUGUAAUAGAUAGACCUACAACUCUCUCAACCAAUUUGCUGAUGGAGUUGCAUCUUGGAUUAAUUAAAGGGAACCCCAAUACAGCUGUAUCACACGGCUUGUGGGGGUGGGACUGGGGGGGCAGGUAGAAGCCCCAAAGAAUGAGGAAACACUGUCAGUGAUUCAGCCCUCUGUCUUUCUCUGCUGGGGCUCGGAAGCUCUUCUUCCUGGGUUGAUCUGACUUCAAAGCAACUCCUUUUCUCAGUUCCUUGAGACUGCUACCUAAGCUAAGCAUUUACAGAAGGCUCUAUUCUUGAAGAAUACCAGGAUCACUGCCACCACCACCACAAGCAGCAGCAGCCCUGCCUGGUUUCAUGUCCCAUUGCUUUUGUCUUGGCAUUUCUUAAUACUUUCUGAACAAGGGGUUCUUGCAUUCUCAUUUUGAGCCGAACCCCACAAAUUACGUAGCUGGUCCCGGUCUCACCACAAAGAAUCUGAGUCUAGGUUUUGUUUUGCUUUCCAGGACUGCAGAUUGAGUUUAGGGUCUUGCAUACAGGCU